GUCUAUGGCCAUACCACCCUGAACAUGCCCCAUCUCGUCUGAUCUCAGAAGCUAAUAAGCAGGGUCGGAUCUGGUUAGUACCUGGAAGGAAGAAAGUAAAAUACUAUCUAGAUU
ensembl:rRNA 5S_rRNA 5S ribosomal RNA